ACGGGGCCCGCACAAGCGGAGGAACAUGUGUUUAAUUCGAUGAUACGCGAGGAACCUUACCUGGGCUUAAAUGUAGAGUGCAUUUUUUAGAGAUAGAAAUUCCCUUCGGGCUUUCUGCAAGGUGCUGCAUGGUUGUCGUCAGCUCGUGCCGUGAGGUGUCGGGUUAAGUCCCAUAACGAGCGCAACCCUUAUCGUUAGUUGCCAUCUGGUAAUGCAGGGGACUCUAGCGAAACUGCCACCGUAAGGUGAGAGGAAGGUGGGGAUGACGUCAAAUCAGCACGGCCCUUAUGUCCAGGGCUACACGCGUGUUACAAUGGUCGGUACAGAGGGCAGCUACCUGGUGACAGGAUGCUAAUCUCGAAAACCGGUCUCAGUUCGGAUCGAAGUCUGCAACUCGACUUCAUGAAGUUGGAAUCGCUAGUAAUCGCGGAUCAGCAUGCCGCGGUGAAUACGUUCCCGGGUCUU
rnacentral:rRNA from 1 species